GACGAACGCUGGCGGCGUGCUUAACACAUGCAAGUCGAACGAUGAACCAGGGCUUGCCCUGGGGAUUAGUGGCGAACGGGUGAGUAACACGUGGGCAACCUGCCCCAGACACCGGGAUAACCUCUCGAAAGAGUGGCUAAUACCGGAUACGACCACUUUGGGCAUCCAACGGUGGUGGAAAGGAUUCUGGUCUGGGAUGGGCCCGCGGCCUAUCAGCUUGUUGGUGGGGUAAUGGCCUACCAGGGCGACGACGGGUAGCCGGCCUGAGAGGGCGACCGGCCACACUGGGACUGAGACACGGCCCAGACUCCAACGGGAGGCAGCAGUGGGGAAUAGUGCGCAAUGGGCGAAAGCCUGACGCAGCGACGCCGCGUGAGGGACGAAGGUCUUCGGAUUGUAAACCUCUUUCAGCAGGGACGAAGCGAAAGUGACUGUACCUGCAGAAGAAGCACCGGCUAACUAUGUGCCAGCCGCCGCAGUAACAC
rnacentral:rRNA from 1 species